rnacentral:rRNA from 1 species
AUGCAGGCGGGAGCAGAGAGGCAGGAAGGAGAUGGAUCGGGGAGCUACCAGGCGGCAACCUUGGGGGUUGAAACUUCGGCGGCGGCGCCGGAGGGCUUGCAGGAGGGUGAUCUGGAGGUUGAUGAUGAGGAGGACUGGGCUCACCGCGGAUCGGGGCCAACCCUGGAAGAUGCUUUUGAUGGUAUGAAUUUGCAUGAAGAAGAGGAAGAAGACCUAGAUUUAUCAGGGGAGGUUGAGGAUCUGAUCAGGGAGGUUCGGUGGCUCGCGCUUUUUAGGGUUCAUACCAUGAGGCCCUUUAGCCAUGCGUCUCUCUUGAAUUCUAUGAGGAACGCAUGGGCUUGUGCGCAAGGCGUAACUUUCAACAUUAAGGGGCCAAACCUAUUUUUGGCUCAGGUUCAUUGACUGGGUGACUGGAAGCGUGUGAUGGACGGGGGGCCGUGGCAAUUCAGAAGAGAUCUGGUGAUCCUGGUGGAGUAUGAUGGAUUUACAAAUGUGGACGAGUAUGCCCUAGACAUGUAUCCAUUAUGGGCGAGAGUUAAAGGGUUACCGGAUGGUUUAACGAGGAAGAAGGAGUUAGCAGAGAAGGUGGCGAAGAAAGUAGGCAAUCCACCGUUCACGGUUAUCGUUAAUGAGGGUAGGAUAAAUCCCUCGAAUCAUCUACGAGUCAAAGUGUUUGUUAAUGUCAAUCAGCCUCUGGUUAGGUUUGUCCCAAUCACGCUCAAAGAGAGGAAGAAGUACCCGGUCAGCUAUGAAAAACUGCCGGACUUCUGCUUCUAUUGCGGCUGUAUGGGCCAUGUGCUUGAGGAGUGCGGGGAUGGUACUCAUGAUUUGGCCUCCUGUGAGUGGGGUGAUUGGCUACAUUGGGCAAAUGAACCGGCUGGAGGUGGUGCUAGAGGUGGAAGGGGAGGUGGUGGUGGAAGAAUAGGCGUUGGGAGAGGGGGGGUCCCUUUAAUGGCCCUCCCAGAGGGGGAAGAAGUGGAGAUGGAGGUAGAGGGGUCAGAGGGGGAGAAGCAGGAGUUGUAG